rnacentral:misc_RNA from 1 species
GCUGUUGCAACAAGUUGUGGACCCUUUUUUGGUGGUGGAUGGUGAAGCAAUGGAAGGUGUCGGUGCAGUCGCGGAGCUAGCAUUCCGAUGUGUAGCGGCCGAUAAGGAUGAUCGCCCUGAUUCAAGAGAUGUGGUAGCAGAAUUGAGAAGGAUAAGGGGCAGGACUAGAGGAGUUGGAAGUGGUGGUAUUUUGAGGACUUCAAAUUCUAGCAACAUGGUGGUUCCUGAUGGGAUUGGUCUAAUUGACUAAUUAGUCGAUUAUUUGGUAAACAGAGUUAAUCGAUAUCUAUACUGACCAGAAACAGUCAGUGUCAUAGAUAGAACGAUAACUGUGUUGAUGAGAGGUAACCGAUA